rnacentral:rRNA from 1 species
CAGCCGCCGCGGGAAUACGAAGGGGGCUAGCGUUGUUCGGAUUUACUGGGCGUAAAGCGCACGUAGGCGGACUUUUAAGUCAGGGGUGAAAUCCCGGGGCUCAACCCCGGAACUGCCUUUGAUACUGGAAGUCUUGAGUAUGGUAGAGGUGAGUGGAAUUCCGAGUGUAGAGGUGAAAUUCGUAGAUAUUCGGAGGAACACCAGUGGCGAAGGCGGCUCACUGGACCAUUACUGACGCUGAGGUACGAAAGCAUGGGGAGCAAACAGGAUUAGAUACCCGCGUAGUCCCUGUCUCUUAUAC